UACGUAGGGGGCUAGCGUUGUCCGGAAUCAUUGGGCGUAAAGCGCGCGUAGGCGGCCCGGUAAGUCCGCUGUGAAAGUCAAAGGCUCAACCUUUGAAUGUCAGCGGAUACUGCCGGGCUAGAGUCCGGAAGAGGCGAGUGGAAUUCCUGGUGUAGCGGUGGAAUGCGCAGAUAUCAGGAGGAACACCGGUGGCGAAGGCGGGUCUCUGGGCCGUAACUGACGCUGAGGAGCGAAAGCGUGGGGAGCGAACAGG
rnacentral:rRNA from 1 species